UACAGAGGUCCCAAGCGUUGUUCGGAUUCAUUGGGCGUAAAGGGUGCGUAGGCGGCGCGGUAAGUCGGGUGUGAAAUUUCGGAGCUUAACUCCGGAAACUGCAUUCGAUACUGCGGUGCUUGAGGACUGGAGAGGAGACUGGAAUUCAUGGUGUAGCAGUGAAAUGCGUAGAGAUCAUGAGGAAGACCAGUGGCGAAGGCGGGUCUCUGGACAGUUCCUGACACUGAGGCACGAAGGCCAGGGGAGCAAACGGG
rnacentral:rRNA from 1 species